CUACGGGAGGCUGCAGUGGGGAAUAUUGGACAAUGGGGGCAACCCUGAUCCAGCCAUGCCGCGUGUGUGAAGAAGGCCUUUUGGUUGUAAAGCACUUUAAGCAGGGAGGAGAGGCUAAUGGUUAAUACCCAUUAGAUUAGACGUUACCUGCAGAAUAAGCACCGGCUAACUCUGUGCCAGCAGCCGCGGUAAUACAGAGGGUGCGAGCGUUAAUCGGAAUUACUGGGCGUAAAGCGAGUGUAGGUGGCUCAUUAAGUCACAUGUGAAAUCCCCGGGCUUAACCUGGGAACUGCAUGUGAUACUGGUGGUGCUAGAAUAUGUGAGAGGGAAGUAGAAUUCCAGGUGUAGCGGUGAAAUGCGUAGAGAUCUGGAGGAAUACCGAUGGCGAAGGCAGCUUCCUGGCAUAAUAUUGACACUGAGAUUCGAAAGCGUGGGUAGCAAACAGGAUUAGAUACCCUCGUAGUC
rnacentral:rRNA from 1 species